UCGUCCCAAUGAUGUCAGCACUGGGCUCUGAUUAUCUGUGCUGAUUCCUUGUGCCCUUCUGUGCUUUGACACACAGAGGGUCUGAGGGACUU